UACGUAGGGUGCGAGCGUUAAUCGGAAUUACUGGGCGUAAAGGGCGCGUAGGCGGCCACCGCAAGUCAGUUGUGAAAUCUCUGGGCUUAACCCAGAAAGGUCAACUGAUACUGCGGGGCUAGAGUGCAGAAGGGGCAACUGGAAUUCUCGGUGUAGCGGUGAAAUGCGUAGAUAUCGAGAGGAACACCUGCGGCGAAGGCGGGUUGCUGGGCUGACACUGACGCUGAAGCGCGAAAGCUAGGGGAGCGAACGGG
rnacentral:rRNA from 1 species